AUAACUAGAGUAUGUAGAAGUAGAUGAAUUCUAGUGUAGCGGGAAAUGUGUAAUAUAGGAGGAACACCAGUGCGAAGGCGACCACCUGAUUUAUACUCACACUCCCGAGCAGGGCGGGGGGAGUAAACCGAUUAGAUACCUUGGUAGAGCUCGCCGUCGACGAGGUCGACUAGCAGUGAUUUCCUUGAGAUCAUAGUGAGGCAGAUAUCGUGAUAAGUCGACGUCCUGGGGAGUACGGCUGCAAGGUUAAAACUCAAAUGAAUUGACUGAGGCCCGCACAAGCGGUGGAGCAUAGGUUUAAUUCGAAGCAACGCGAAGAACCUUACCUGGCCUUGACAUGCAGAGAACUUUCCAGAGAUGGAUUGGUGCCUUCGGGAACUCUGACACAGGUGCUGCAUGGCUGUCGUCAGCUCGUGUCGUGAGAUGUUGGGUUAAGUCCCGUAACGAGCGCAACCCUUGUCCUUAGUUACCAGCACCUCGGGUGGGCACUCUAAGGAGACUGCCGGUGACAAACCGGAGGAAGGUGGGGAUGACGUCAAGUCAUCAUGGCCCUUACGGCCAGGGCUACACACGUGCUACAAUGGUCGGUACAAAGGGUUGCCAAGCCGCGAGGUGGAGCUAAUCCCAUAAAACCGAUCGUAGUCCGGAUCGCAGUCUGCAACUCGACUGCGUGAAGUCGGAAUCGCUAGUAAUCGUGAAUCAGAAUGUCACGGUGAAUACGUUCCCGGGCCUUGUACACACCGCCCGUCACACCAUGGGAGUGGGUUGCUCCAGAAGUAGCUAGUCUAACCGCAAGGAGGACGGUUACCACGGAGUGAUUCAUGACUGGGGGAAGUCUAGCAAGAUCGAGGCCAGGGG
rnacentral:rRNA from 1 species